UUGACACAACUCUCCUUUGUAAUACUUGUAAACUCAAGAAUAUAGUGUUUGUACUAAAAAUUAAAGAGACUUAGAAGAUGAUAUUUGUAGUUGCGUAGCUCUGCUUAUUGAAACUGACAGUCUUCUAAUAUAAGAGUUUGAGGACCGUUACAGAUUGAUCUUGAUUGAGCCAUUGAAUCCUCUAAGAGAUUUGACCCAAGGGGUACCUCUGAAUCCUACAUUAGAAUUGGCUUGGAUUCGUUUAUGUCCUUCCUUUCUAUAUCCUCAUUUCACAGAGUGAUU
rnacentral:lncRNA from 1 species